rnacentral:rRNA from 1 species
GAUGAACGCUGGCGGCGUGCCUAAUACAUGCAAGUCGAGCGAACGGACGAGAAGCUUGCUUCUCUGACGUUAGCGGCGGACGGGUGAGUAACACGUGGAUAACCUACCUAUAAGACUGGGAUAACUUCGGGAAACCGGAGCUAAUACCGGAUAAUAUUUUGAACCGCAUGGUUCAAAAGUGAAAGACGGUCUUGCUGUCACUUAUAGAUGGAUCCGCGCUGCAUUAGCUAGUUGGUAAGGUAACGGCUUACCAAGGCAACGAUGCAUAGCCGACCUGAGAGGGUGAUCGGCCACACUGGAACUGAGACACGGUCCAGACUCCUACGGGAGGCAGCAGUAGGGAAUCUUCCGCAAUGGGCGAAAGCCUGACGGAGCAACGCCGCGUGAGUGAUGAAGGUCUUCGGAUCGUAAAUCUCUGUUAUUAGGGAAGAACAUAUGUGUAAGUAACUGUGCACAUCUUGACGGUACCUAAUCAGAAAGCCACGGCUAACUACGUG